rnacentral:rRNA from 1 species
GACAGAGGGGGCAAGCGUUGCUCGGAAUCACUGGGCGUAAAGGGCGCGUAGGCGGGAUGGCAAGUCGGUCGUGAAAUCCUUCGGCUCAACCGAAGAACGUCGGCCGAUACUGCCGUUCUUGAGGGAUGCAGAGGAGAGUGGAAUUCCCGGUGUAGCGGUGAAAUGCGCAGAUAUCGGGAAGAACACCCGUGGCGAAGGCGGCUCUCUGGGACGGUACUGACGCUGAGACGCGAAAGCGUGGGGAGCGAACAGG